GGGGAUAUAGCUCAGUUGGUAGAGUGCUUUCCUAGCAUGAAAAAGGCCCUGGGUUCAAUCCCCAGCACCACCA